UGGUGGAGCGAUUUGUCUGGUUAAUUCCGAUAACGAACGAGACUCUAGCCUGCUAAAUAGACGGGCGAUCCCCUGUGGGUCGAUCCGAUUUGCUUCUUAGAGGGACAAGUGGCGUUCCUAGCCACGCGAAAUUGAGCAAUAACA
rnacentral:rRNA from 1 species